AGCAGCCGCGGUAAUUCCAGCUCCAAUAGCGUAUAUUAAAGUUGUUGCAGUUAAAAAGCUCGUAGUUGAAUUUCGGGGUCAGUAGGUUGGUCGUGCCACGGGUAUGUACUGGUCUCACUGAUUCCUCCUUCCUGAUGAACCGUAAUGCCAUUAAUUUGGUGUUGCGGGGAAACUGGACUGUUACUUUGAAAAAAUUAGAGUGUUUAAAGCAGGCUAACGCUUGAAUACAUUAGCAUGGAAUAAUGAAAUAGGACGUUCGAUCCUAUUUUGUUGGUUUCUAGGAUUGACGUAAUGAUUAAUAGGGAUAGUUGGG
rnacentral:rRNA from 1 species